CCUACGGGUGGCAGCAGUGGGGAAUAUUGGGCAAUGGGCGCAAGCCUGACCCCGCAACGCCGCGUGAAGGAAGAAGGCUUUCGGGUUGUAAACUUCUUUUCUCAGGGACGAAGCAAGUGACGGUACAUGAGGAAUAAGCCACGGCUAACUACGUGCCAGCAGCCGCGGUAAUACGUAGGUUGCAAGCGUUAUCCGGAUUUACUGGGUGUAAAGGGCGUGUAGGCGGGGAUGCAAGUCAGAUGGGAAAACCACGGGCUCAACCGGUGGCCUGCAUUUGAAACUGUGUUUCUUGAGUACUGGAGAGGCAGACGGAAUGCCUAGGGUAGCGGUGAAAUGCGUAGAUAUUAGGAGGAACACCAGUGGCGAAGGCGGUCUGCUGGACAGCAACUGACGCUGAGGCGCGAAAGCGUGGGGAGCAAACAGGAUUAGAUACCCGUGUAGUC
rnacentral:rRNA from 1 species